rnacentral:lncRNA from 1 species
UCCUUGGUUAUGUCAACAUCAAAUAGGGGGAGAUUGUUGGAAGAAUGCAUAUUGUGAUUUGAUGUUUUAUGAAACAGCUCAUGAUUAUGCAGAGUUCUUUCUGCUGCUUCCUGUUAUAGUUAACCUUCUAUUAUCCUUUGGGCUUUUCUUCCAACUCACGAACAGUUGUUGAGACAUUACUUUGUGAACAUUCAAGGAUCCUCCCUCAUCAUCCUUAAUCUUGCUUCCC